GACGAACGCUGGCGGCGUGCCUAAUACAUGCAAGUAGAACGCACAGUUUAUACCGUAGCUUGCUACACCAUAGACUGUGAGUUGCGAACGGGUGAGUAACGCGUAGGUAACCUGCCUGGUAGCGGGGGAUAACUAUUGGAAACGAUAGCUAAUACCGCAUAAUAUUGAUUAUUGCAUGAUAAUUGAUUGAAAGAUGCUAUUGCAUCACUACCAGAUGGACCUGCGUUGUAUUAGCUAGUAGGUGAGGUAACGGCUCACCUAGGCGACGAUACAUAGCCGACCUGAGAGGGUGAUCGGCCACACUGGGACUGAGACACGGCCCAGACUCCUACGGGAGGCAGCAGUAGGGAAUCUUCGGCAAUGGACGAAAGUCUGACCGAGCAACGCCGCGUGAGUGAAGAAGGUUUUCGGAUCGUAAAGCUCUGUUGUAAGAGAAGAACGGGUGUGGGAGUGGAAAGUUCACACUGUGACGAUAUCUUACCAGAAAGGGACGGCUAACUACGUG
rnacentral:rRNA from 1 species